GUCGUAACAAGGUCUCCGUAGGUGAACCUGCGGAGGGAUCAUUACACAAAUAUGAAGGCGGGCUGGAACCUCUCGGGGUUACAGCCUUGCUGAAUUAUUCACCCUUGUCUUUUGCGUACUUCUUGUUUCCUUGGUGGGUUCGCCCACCACUAGGACAAACAUAAACCUUUUGUAAUUGCAAUCAGCGUCAGUAACAAAUUAAUAAUUACAACUUUCAACAACGGAUCUCUUGGUUCUGGCAUCGAUGAAGAACGCGGCGAAAUGCGAUAAGUAGUGUGAAUUGCAGAAUUCAGUGAAUCAUCGAAUCUUUGAACGCACAUUGCGCCCUUUGGUAUUCCAAAGGGCAUGCCUGUUCGAGCGUCAUUUGUACCCUCAAGCUUUGCUUGGUGUUGGGCGUCUUGUCUCUAGCUUUGCUGGAGACUCGCCUUAAAGUAAUUGGCAGCCGGCCUACUGGUUUCGGAGCGCAGCACAAGUCGCACUCUCUAUCAGCAAAGGUCUAGCAUCCAUUAAGCCUUUUUUCAACUUUUGACCUCGGAUCAGGUAGGGAUACCCGCUGAACUUAAGC
rnacentral:rRNA from 1 species